rnacentral:rRNA from 1 species
AUUGAACGCUGGCGGCAUGCCUCACACAUGCAAGUCGAACGGCAACACGGGAGCAAUCCUGGUGGCGAGUGGCGAACGGGUGAGUAAUAUAUCGGAACGUGCCCAGUAGUGGGGGAUAACUGCUCGAAAGAGCAGCUAAUACCGCAUACGACCUGAGGGUGAAAGGGGGGGAUCGCAAGACCUCUCGCUAUUGGAGCGGCCGAUAUCAGAUUAGCUAGUUGGUGGGGUAAAGGCCUACCAAGGCAACGAUCUGUAGUUGGUCUGAGAGGACGACCAGCCACACUGGGACUGAGACACGGGCCAGACUCCUACGGGAGGCAGCCGUGGGGAAUUUUGGACAAUGGGCGCAAGCCUGAUCCAGCAAUGCCGCGUGCAGGAAGAAGGCCUUCGGGUUGUAAACUGCUUUUGUCAGGGAAGAAAUCCUCUAGGUUAAUACCCUUGGGGGGAUGACGGUACCUGAAGAAUAAGCACCGGCUAACUACGUGCCAGCCGCCGCGGUAAUAC